UUCUUGUGGUGCUGUUUAUGUGCCUUCUCUUUCUACAACAAGGGAUAUGCCUUAUUUAUCUGGCAGUGUUUUUUCCCUGUAAAAUGUGCAAGAUCUGUGUCUCUAAAAUUAUUUAUUUAUUCCAUCUCUUUUUCUCCCUCUAAACAACUUAAUAGAUAUUCUUGGAGCGCCCAUUGGGUUUGUGUAUGAGGAGCUAAGAAACUCAGACAGGAUCCUGCUCCUUGGGAAAACACAGCAUUCUGGAAAGAUGAAAGCUGAGUUGCAGAGAAGCCUGGGAGCAAUGCUAGACAACUGAGCCACAUGUCCCAGCAGGAAAACUCCAGGAAAUAGAGAAGAGGUUAAAUAGGAAAUGUGGCCCUGAGAGAACAGAGUUUUAUUGAUUACUAGGUGAGCCAGAGCAACCACUAUUGAGAUUGACUUCCACCAUCAAGAACUUGGCUUGGUUCCUGUUACCUUGAAACAGCUCAGGGGCCUGCGUGAAGUGGACAUUGCUGUCUGUCUACCACAGAUCAGGAGUGCUCACUAUGGAACUGGGAUCUAGUACAUGGCAGGCAAGGACUCUUCACAUUGAGAUAACGGCAGGAGAAGUUUGCAGACAUCUGUGAGGUCCCAGCCAGACCCUGCUCGCACACUGAUGGGUGUGACUGUGGAGAUGAUGGCGCAGGAAGGAAGAGGCACAAAGAGCAUGCCUGGGUAUCCCCGUGCCCUGCCCACCACUUGCAUGUCCCCAGUCUCCACAUAGUGUUCCUGUCGUCUCCUGGCCCGGAAGCAGUGACUGCCCUGUGUCCAGUGUCUGGCUGCUGAGUCCUUGGGAACGUGCCUAAGUGUCCCAGUUCCUGUGUAUGAUCCCACAGAGCCUGCCUCCUGCACAGUCCUGAAUGGCAUCAUUGUAACAGUCUGCUCCAUGUUUAAGAUUCUAAGUGACCCACAUUACUAAAGAAUGUCUUUCAAGAGAGGAAAACUAAAUGGCCAGUAAGAAAGGAUCUUCACAAAGACGUGCCGAGGCAUUGAGGUCCAAUUCUUCAAGGUCUUCAGAGGCUGCCAAACUCAGGCUCCCACCCUCUCCUUCCAUGGGAGUCUGUCUAGGCUGAAAUCUAAGUCCAAAUGAAUGAAUCUGCUUGGGGGGUGGGAGCAAGCCACAGCUGUGACUCUAGCUCACUGGGGGUUUCUGUUUUAUAGGCGGUCAGGAUCGAGUCUCUGAAAUUAUCAACUUGGGACUAGGAAAACAAUUGAUACUAUCUGAUUUGUAGAAUAGCCCUGGGUAGGGAAAUACUAAUUUUAAAUAUCAUUCAUCUUUCCUUUUAUCCAGUCUCUGCGCUGUAAUGGAAUUAGGUGAAAGGACUGAGUCCAAGCUGUAGUGAGCUCAGGGGAGCUUGCACACCGAACUGACAAAUUAAUCUGUGGACAGCCCUCAUCCAGUACUUAUUUAGUCAAUAGUCAGUGAAUGAGAAAAGGGGAAAGCACAUUUUUCCUUUUUCUUUCUCUAUUCCUUCCUUCCUUCUUCCUUCCUUCCUUCCUUCCUUCCUUCCUUCCUUCCUUCCUUCCUUCCUUCCUUCUUUCCUUCCUUCCUCCCUCCCUCCCUCCCUCCCUCCCUCUUUCUCUCUCUCUCUCUCUCUCUCUCUCUCUCUCUCUCUUUCUUUCUUUCUUUCUUUCUUUCUUUCUUUCUUUCUUUCUUUCUUAUUUACUCAUUAGAAUUUUUUCCAAUCAGCAUACUGUGAACCUUCUGUAUCUUUUCCAAAACCAUCAAUUUUCAGCUUAAUUGUUUUUCCCCCCUUCUGACUAAAAUGUGAACUCUUGAAGUAAACGUAUUUACAUGUUAAACUUCCCAGACUGAGUUAAGAGAAUUAGAAAAGGACUCAGGAGAUAGGAAAUAUGUUCAGCUCUGUGGAAGAGCUCAUUAUGGAACGUUUCCCAAACAGCUCUGCAAUGAAUGCAUUGUGAGACCACCUAUAAUCGAUAGACACAUGUGUAAACUGUUAAAGGAAAUACUUAGCAAGGUUUCAGAAUUUGAGGCUGAUGGGGGGAACUUCUGCUAUUUGAAUUUAUAAGGAGCACCAGGUUGCAGGGCACAUCACACUAGCACUCCUGUGAUCCUAGCACAUGUUAUUAUAUAAGUCUGUUUGUGUUAGUGGGGGUACAUAUGUGUGCAUGUGUGCACAUGCAGAGGGCAAAUGUGAACCUGUGUGUAAUUCCUUAGGGUACUGCCUACCUCGGUUUUUUUUUUAGGCACAGGCUCUCAUUGGCUCAGGCCUCCCUUAUUUGGUUAUGUUUGCUAGCCAGUGAGCCCGAGGGACCCACCUGUCUCCCCAGCUCUGGGAUUCCUUCUACCUGCCAACAGGUUGGGGAUUUUUUUGUGUGAGUUGUGAAGAUCCAACUCAGGGCUUCGUGCUUGCUAACAUAGCAAGCAUUUAUUAGCCAUGUUAUCAUCUCUGCUUCCUGGGGUGUGUCCAUUCAUUAACUUAUUCAAUAAGCAUUGUGACUGAAUGGUGCAAUGUUCUACUGAGAAGAACUUAGAACCAAUUUUCUGUGCUCGAAUCCUGACUCUAUCAGGUAUCAUCUGCUUGAACUUGGCCAAAUCACUUGACUUCUCUGAACCCCAGUUUCUUUUUUGUAGAAGGGGUAAUAAAUAAAUAAGGGGUAGGACAAUGUGGAGUUUUCAAUGACAUAAUUAAUUAAUACAUAUGUUGCUUCCCUAGUGCCCAGGACACAGAGUGUCCUCAAAAGGACAUGAUUACGCUGUUUUCUCUUUGUCAGAGCACUGUCUACAUAUACACUCUGUGCCAAGCACUGGAAAUGGCAAUGGCCACACCACCUCCUUCAAGGCAUUCUCCUGUGAGGGAGAGACAUUUAAGCCACUGAGGAUGAGAGCAUCACACAUGUUGAGAACACAGCCACUUCUUCACAUACUUUCGAGAAUAAAAUCUGUUGAGUGACUGAGCAAAUGAUUGCCAAGAGAGAAGCAUGGGGUCAUAGGCAGACCUGUUCGAUGCAAGAACAGAGGUGCGGGUGAACCCAUUUACAGGACUCUGGUGGGAGGGGUCUGUCCCGCCAGACAGUUAAACUGAAGAAGACAUGCUUGUCUCCGGUCCAACCUGUGCCAGACGUUUGGAGAUGGAAACGCUCUAUAGCAAGUGGCCCUGGUUAGAGAGAUGAACUGCUGUAGGUCAAGAGAGCAAAAAACAAAGGAAACAGCAAAUUCCAGGAGGUGAAGGACGCGCUGCUCUAAAAGACUUAAGAGAAACUGGCUGGAAAGAGACUCCCAGAGAGGAAGUGAUCGGGAGGCAACUUUGAACCAAGAAACACUAAUCACAGCCCCUCACCCACACUCUUCUCCAGACUCAUCCGCAGAGCACGUUGCCUGCCUCCUGUCCUUAGAACUGCAUCUUGGCAUGACUUGUGUUUAGAAAGAUGAGGACACUGUGGAUUUUAAUUCUAAUGAGGGACAUAGGCGCUUGACAUAGUGACAUUUGUUUAAUACCUUGUGCUCCAUGUUAAAAAGGUCCUCCAUCUAUUUUUCUGGCCUAGAACAUAAAUGGAGGCCUAGGAGGCAAAGGAGGACACUCCGGUGCUCAGCCCCCCCCCCCCCCCCCCCACACACACACAGAGCCAGCCACUCACCAGAGCUCUUGGGUGUUGCUGAGACAAUUCAGUCAUUUUUGCCAAAAGUUUAUAAUGAAAGAGAGUAAAGGCCCCUCACCCCUCAUGGCAGCUGCCUUCCUGCUCUCUCUCUCGGCUUCACUUUUCCAUUUCCCAGCUGGUAAAAGCCUGAGAGAGAAAGUGCAGACUGACAGUGUCACCCAUCUCAUGUUUUGCCAGCAAGGACAUCAUAAACAAAAUCAAAUAGCUACUCUAUCUUACAGAGCAUUAUAAUUGCACAAGGAAAAGGAUAUUUGACAUGGAAGGCAGGAUGGAAAAUUAAUUUCUCAAAUAAGACAAUAUUCAUGACUGUAUUUAAGUUUACAGAAAACUCCUUCUGUCAUUUUUUCCCCCUCAUUUUGCCAUGAACGAAUAAAAUUUGGCAAGGGUCAGCAGUAGUUCCCCCAAACACUUUUUAUGCCUGACUCCUGGACUCAACACUUAGAUGCUGGAAGAAUCUGAUAUUUCUUCUGCCCCUCUAUCAACAGUGGCCAUUCAUAGCCAACAGCAACUAUUCACAGCCAAAUGACUCAUCGUGGCUGCAGACAAACAAGUCAAUCUCGUUCCUGUUCUUGCUUUCUGAAAAACAUUUCUGGCUUCAUGUAGUGCUCAGCCUGGGAUGCACUCAGCUGGUGGUUCCCCAGUUAUCCAGGACAAAACCACCAUUCCCAGGUCCCCGGCUCUGGCAGAACUAAGUCAAUGCUGGACCACAGACUUUUGCGUGUGCUUCAAACAUUAAAUCCUAAAGUACAGUAGGGAGAGAUCCAUAGUGCCCCUGGCCCUUCCUUUGUGGAUCAAGGCUGAGAUGGUCUUUAUGCCAUCUGGAGGUGGUAUUGGAGCAUGACAACCAUGUCAGGUGACCUGCCAUUUCCUUAAGCACCAACAGCAGUGUGGUAUGAAACAUCUUGCCCACAUGUAAUCCCAGUUUUCCUGUAAGUAUGUGUGUAUCUGUAUUUGUGCAGGUUCUCUCAUGUGUGCAAGAAUGUGUAGAGGCCAGCAUUAACAUUGAGCUGCCUCUGUCCAUUGCUUUGCUGACUGAUUUUUUUUUUUUUUUAGACACUCUUUCACUGAACCUGGAAGCUCACUAUGUCUGUUGAAUUAGCUGGUCAUGGGGCCCCCAGGGUCCUUGCCCCAUGCCGGGUUACAGCUGUGUAUUGCUACCAGCAGCCUUUCAUAUGGAUGCUGCAGACCCAAGCUCAGAUUCCUAUGCGUAUGUAGCAAGUACUGCAGCCACGGAGCCAUCUCCUCACUGUCUUAGAAUGGUCACAAUCUUCUGUGAUUCACCCAACUGCAUACUAAACUUCCUAGUUUUAUGGUUUGUAUUGGGACAAGUCCUCUGCCUUUUGACAACACUACUGUAAGCAACUUGGUCUAUGGAGAUCUAGAUUCCUAAUGUUUGCAUAGGGCUGAAAGUGUGUUUGGUCCACAUAUGUGGCUGUUGUUUGCUUUUGGUUUAUAGGGUUAUGGGUGCACAGGUACAGUUUAAGGCAGUGGUGUCUGGAGAGGCCUAUGUUUGCAGGAAGCAAUUAGAGUGUGAAUAGAGCUCUCAUCUGUGGUUCUAUUUCUGUGCUCUUCAGUGUCUAUGAUUCAAUUAAUUGUACCUUUGUUUGACUUGAAGAAUCUAUUGAGGAAUAUACUUGAAAUGAAAGAGUAAGUGGCUCCAUUGAAAUGCAUCCACUUCUCAAGCUUUGAUGCUCUGAUGCAGGUAUAGUGUGAAGGCCUCGAGGUACUUGACAUCAACAAGUGUCCGCUAGUGUCUCAGA